rnacentral:tRNA from 1 species
GCCUUCGUGGUGUAACGGUAGCACACUUGGCUGGUAUUCGAGAGGUCCAGGUCGAGUCCCGGCGCGGACA